AGGGAAUCUUCCGCAAUGGACGAAAGUCUGACGGAGCAACGCCGCGUGAGUGAAGAAGGCCUUCGGGUCGUAAAACUCUGUUGCCGGGGAAGAACAAGUGCCGUUCGAACAGGGCGGCGCCUUGACGGUACCCGGCCAGAAAGCCACGGCUAACUACGUGCCAGCAGCCGCGGUAAUACGUAGGUGGCAAGCGUUGUCCGGAAUUAUUGGGCGUAAAGCGCGCGCAGGCGGUUUCUUAAGUCUGAUGUGAAAGCCCCCGGCUCAACCGGGGAGGGUCAUUGGAAACUGGGAGGCUUGAGUGCAGAAGAGGAGAGUGGAAUUCCACGUGUAGCGGUGAAAUGCGUAGAGAUGUGGAGGAACACCAGUGGCGAAGGCGGCUCUCUGGUCUGUAACUGACGCUGAGGCGCGAAAGCGUGGGGAGCAAAC
rnacentral:rRNA from 1 species